rnacentral:pre_miRNA from 1 species
AGUAAAAUUGCUGGGUCAUAUGGUAAGACUAUCUUUAACUUUUUGAGGAACUGCCAAACUGUUUUCCAGAGUGGCUGCACUAUUUUAUAUUUCCACCAGCAAU